CCCUUAGAUGUCCUGGGCCGCACGCGUGCUACACUGAUGCAUACAGCGAGCACUUCCCGGCCCCGAGAGGCGGCUGGUAAUCAGCAAUAUGCAUCGUGAUGGGGAUAGAUCCUUGGAAUUCUUGAUCUUGAACGAGGAAUGCCUAGUAGGCGCAAGUCAUUACCUUGCGUCGAUUAAGUCCCUGCCCUUUGUACACACCGCCCGUCGCUCCUACCGAUUUGAGUGAUCAGGUGAACCUUUUGGACCGAGCCGUUCGCGGCUUGGAAAAUCAAGUAAACCACGUCACUUAGAGGAAGGAGAAGUCGUAACA
rnacentral:rRNA from 1 species